AGCGAACGCUGGCGGCAGGCCUAACACAUGCAAGUCGAGCGGGCACUUCCGGUUGUCAGCGGCGUACGGGUGAGUAACCCGUUGGAACGUGCCCUCUGGUUCGGAAUAACUCCGGGAAACUUUAGCUAAUACCUGAUACUCCCUUUUGCUGACAGCCUUGCUGCCGAAGGAUCGGGCCGCCCCUGACUAGCUAGUCGGUGAGGUAACCCCUCACUAAGGCGACGAUCUGUAGCUGGUCUGAGAGGCUGCUCAGCCACGCUGGGACUAUGACACGGCCCAGACUCCUCCGGCAUGCAGCAGUGGGGAAUAUUGGACACUGGGCGCAGGCCUGAUCCAGCCGGGCCGGGUGAGUGAUGAAGGGCUUAGGGUUGUCAAGCUCUUUUAUCCGGGACGAUAAUGACGGUACCGGAGGAAUAAGCCCCGGCUAACUUCGUG
rnacentral:rRNA from 1 species